CCUACGGGAGGCUGCAGUGAGGAAUAUUGGUCAAUGGGCGGGAGCCUGAACCAGCCAAGUCGCGUGAGGGAAGACGGUCCUAUGGAUUGUAAACCUCUUUAGGCGGGGAGUAAAGCCGGGCACGCGUGCCCGGAGGGAGAGUACCCGCAGAAUAAGCAUCGGCUAACCCCGUGCCAGCACCCGCGGAAAUACGGAGGAUGCGAGCUUAUUCGGGUUUUAUUGGGUUUAAGGGGUGGGUGGGCGGACUGGAAAGUCAGCGGUAAAAUCGAGAGGCUAAAUCUCUUUCCGCCGUUGAAACUGUCGGUCUUGAGUGGGGUAGAAGUAUGCGGAAUGCGUGGUGUAGCGGUGAAAUGCAUAGAUAUCACGCAGAACUCCGAUUGCGAAGGCAGCAUACCGGCGCCCGACUGACGCUGAGGCACGAAAGCGUGGGUAUCGAACAGGAUUAGAUACCCGAGUAGUC
rnacentral:rRNA from 1 species